GUAGGUGGCAAGCGUUGUCCGGAAUUAUUGGGCGUAAAGCGCGCGCAGGUGGUUCUUUAAGUCUGAUGUGAAAGCCCCCGGGCUCAACCGGGGAGGGUCAUUGGAAACUGGGGAACUUGAGUGCAGGAGAGGAAAGUGGAAUUCCACGUGUAGCGGUGAAAUGCGUAGAUAUGUGGAGGAACACCAGUGGCGAGGGCGACUUUCUGGCCUGUAACUGACACUGAGGCGCGAAAGCGUGGGGAGCAAACAGGAUUAGAUACCCUGGUAGUCCACGCCGUAAACGAUGAGUGCUAAGUGUUGGGGGGUUUCCGCCCCUCAGUGCUGCAGCUAACGCAUUAAGCACUCCGCCUGGGGAGUACGGCCGCAAAGACUG
rnacentral:rRNA from 1 species